CCUCUGCAAAUUUGUGUACACAGAGUCAGUCCCUUACCUCUCUCUAAAAGUGCACAGUUUCAAAAAGUUCAAUGAAGAGAAGAUUGUUGGGGGCGGAAUAGAUCUGGACAAGGAGAAGCAGUCUGGUGAUAAAUGUGAUAAGAGAGGGACAGGCAGUAGAAACAAAAGUGAAACCGUUUGAACAGCAUAUUCCAGAAGUCUUGAGGUCUUUCUGAGUGUAGCCUUCAUUGAUUUGAGAUCUACCAUACCAUUCUCUCACUAGAAGGGAAAAUCUAUAAUGGCAGCAGCAAUAAGAGAGACCCAGUUUGGAAAUAUUUUAAUGAAGUUCCUCUACCUGGGGUAAGACAGGAAUGAAAUGAAAACAGUGCAACAAAGAAAUGCAAAGCCUGGUUGCUCAAAUGAAACAACAUCACGAGAAGUGUUCCUUCUCAGGAGGAAGCUGCGUUGAAAAUGAGGAAAGGAACAUGUCUGAACGUGCAGGAUCUUCAGGAGAAUCCAUCCUCAACAUACAGGAUUCUGAACACUAUCCAUCUUCAAGAUCACCAUCAUUUUCUAUAAUUUCAGAGUUAUCUGUCAAUUAGAGUGUUUCAGUUACAUCAUGUAUGUCACAUAGCCAAAGCAUAUCACCUGUAGC